GCGACGCGCACAAUCUCAAUCUAAAUCUAAAAUCAAUAUAUAAUCAGAAAAAUAAAUAAAUAAAUAAAUAUCCUCUUCUUCUCCCCCCAAAAUUAAAACCCUAAUAACCUUCGAAGCUCUCGCGGCAACACCACCGAUCUGAAUUUCCCCCUCAAAUCAAAGAAGAGAAGAAUGAGUAGACAUUCGAGCAGAACCGUGUAUGUUGGAAAUCUACCUGGCGAUAUCCGUGAAAGAGAAGUUGAAGAUUUGUUUAUGAAGUAUGGACACAUAACUCACAUUGACCUAAAGGUUCCGCCAAGGCCCCCCGGCUACGCAUUUGUUGAGUUUGAAGAUGUUCAAGAUGCCGAGGAUGCAAUUCGCGGUCGUGAUGGUUAUGAUUUUGAUGGGCACCGAUUACGGGUGGAGGCUGCACAUGGUGGUCGUGGCAAUUCAUCUUCAAGAGAUCGAUACAGCAGUCACAGCAAUGGCCGAGGUGGACGCGGGGUAUCCAGGCGCUCUGAAUAUCGUGUUAUAGUCAAUGGACUGCCCUCUUCUGCAUCCUGGCAGGAUCUUAAGGAUCACAUGCGAAAAGCCGGGGAUGUUUGCUUUUCCCAAGUUUUUCAUGAUGGAAGGGGUACUACUGGGAUUGUGGAUUACACAAACUACGAUGAUAUGAAAUAUGCUAUCAAAAAGCUUGAUGACUCUGAGUUCCGGAAUGCUUUUUCCAAGUCUUACGUUCGUGUGAGGGAAUAUGAUUCGAGGCGGGACUCUAGAAGUCCUGGUCGUGGGCCUUCUCAUUCUAGAGGAAGAAGCUAUAGCCGCAGUCGUAGUCGCAGCCGCAGCCAUAGCCGUAGCUACAGUCCAGGCCAUAGCAGAAGCAAAUCUCCUAAGGGUAAAUCCUCACAACGGUCACCAGCUAAAUCUCCAGCAAAAUCAGUUUCUCGCUCUCGCUCCAGAUCUAGAUCCCGUUCUUUAUCAGGAUUGGAAACUUGCGGCAUACUGGAAAUUGGAAAUUAGGGACUUGGUGGGAUUUGGUUCAAUUGCCUACAACUCAAUUUGUUGUGGAGGUAUGGUAUUUUUCAGAUGGGCGACUUUGGAUACCCUCAUAGUACAUUUGUUCUAAUACUUUUAGCAUGUAAAUGUCCGUGGGUGCUAGAUUGGGAAACAAAGAGAUCAAGGAUUGCCAUUUAGAGCUGGAUUUCUUGUGUUUAAAGGAAAUUAGGAUUUGGAAAUCUCCACCAAUGAGCACUAGGGCUAAUUUCAUUACAAUUGCGGGCUUCAAGAUUUGCCAAGCCAAUAGGGUGCACUAUCUGGAUUCUCUGGAUUUUACGGUGUAGGGGAAGAUUUCUGUUCUCCAGUCUGCUGGUGUCUUAAUGUUUAACCUUGGGAUUGUUUAUUUAUCAUUCAUUUUUCAUAUAUUAUUAUGCAUUUAAUGCCCAUACCAUUUCGUUCUUUGGCUUUCUCUCUGUUGGGCUGUUUUAUAUUUUAUGAUAUUUGUUUUUUUACCUCUCUUGGGUUUGCGAACCGUGACAUUGGAGAGGCAUCAAGGCUGUUGGAUCAAAUUUGAUAAGGGAACUUGUGGAUUUAUACUCUGUUAUUUGUGGAUCUUUUGCAGAUCACGGUCAAGGUCUAGGUCUCCAUUGCCUCUGCGUAAUAAAAGCCCCAAAAAGCGCAGUGCUAGCAGGAGUCCAAGUAGGAGCAGGAGCCGUAGCAAGAGUUUGUCCAGGUGAGUUCUGAUUGUUACUAGUGAAGGAGUGGAUGAUGGUCAGUGCGGCUACAAAGUUUUUUCUAGUAAUAUUUGACUUUGGCUGAGAAAUACUUAUUUGGGUUGAAGUUAUUUGAACUUUAAACUCUCUGGAUUGUUGUACUUGAUACCCGUGCCUUUGGGCAUCUUAAGUUAUGAGGAAUUUGAUGGACCUUGAUUUUAUGGUAGUAGACUGUUGAACUAUUUGGUUCCUUGUUUGGGUACACUUGGUAAUUGGUAUUGGCUUUAUUACAUCCUUAUAAAUAAAAAAUGUUUUGCAACA